rnacentral:lncRNA from 1 species
GGAGGUUAUCCAGAGUAUCGUAUUUAUUUUUUACCACUAGGAGAAAGAGUGCAUCUGACUAACCGGUCUAUUACUACUAACCUUUAGGCACAAAGAAUGUCUUUCGAUGUGAGUGAUAAAUAGAGAAGACUGCAACCGUAGUCUCCUUCUAACCUUGGUAAGGAUAAUCUAUUGUUCUAAUGGGGAGGCUAACGGCAUCUAGACACCACAAAGGAUGUUCAACCCGCACCUAUAAACCCUAUCCUUCCUGCUAAUGAGAUGUGAUCUACAAAGGUAGCUCGGAAUUGUCACGUUCCUCACUACUACCACGGUCCAGCUAGUCAGGGAAUAUCUAUGAGUACCCCAGCCUAAACACCACGUUUACGCCAGCAAUGAUUACUCUAAACUCUACGCGAAGAGAUUAAAGUAAACUCAUAAACCAUAAGAACAAUAAAAGAAGAACUUACU